CAAACACAAAGUAAAGCAAAGCAACGGCAAAGCCAGCAAAACAAAACUCGGAGACCCGCUGCCGAGUCGCAGUCAGUCGUUAUCGGAACUUGCUGCCGCUGUCAUGUCCGAGACGUAGACGCGCACGGUUCGUUUUCUGCUGCUGAUCAGAUAGACAUCCGUUUUCAGUGUCGUCGCGCCGUUUAGCUAAUCAUCUGGCAAAAUGUCUUCAUUUAGCUGAGAUCGUGUGCGAGCGUAAAGUCAUAAUCGCAUGCAAAUCGCCGCAGAAAACAAACGCGAGUGCAUAAAUAAAUAAUAAUUGCAUAUACUCAAUAUACAUAUA